CAGCAGUGAGGAAUAUUGGUCAAUGGACGAGAGUCUGAACCAGCCAAGUAGCGUGCAGGAUGACGGCCCUAUGGGUUGUAAACUGCUUUUGCGCGGGGAUAACACCCUCCACGUGCUGGAGGUCUGCAGGUACCGCGCGAAUAAGGACCGGCUAAUUCCGUGCCAGCAGCCGCGGUAAUACGGAAGGUCCGGGCGUUAUCCGGAUUUAUUGGGUUUAAAGGGAGCGUAGGCCGUGAGGUAAGCGUGUUGUGAAAUGUAGGCGCCCAACGUCUGCACUGCAGCGCGAACUGCCCCACUUGAGUGCGCGCAACGCCGGCGGAACUCGUCGUGUAGCGGUGAAAUGCUUAGAUAUGACGAAGAACCCCGAUUGCGAAGGCAGCUGGCGGGAGCGUAACUGACGCUGAAGCUCGAAAGCGCGGGUAUCGAACAGGAUUAGAUACCCUGGUAGUCCGCGCGGUAAACGAUGGAUGCCCGCUGUGGCGCGCCUGGCGUGCCGCGGCUAAGCGAAAGCAUUAAGCAUCCCACCUGGGGAGUACGCCGGCAACGGUGAAACUCAAAGGAAUUGACGGGGGCCCGCACAAGCGGAGGAACAUGUGGUUUAAUUCGAUGAUACGCGAGGAACCUUACCCGGGCUUGAACUGCAGGAGAACGAUUCAGAGAUGAUGAGGUCCUUCGGGACUCCUGUGGAGGUGCUGCAUGGUUGUCGUCAGCUCGUGCCGUGAGGUGUCGGCUUAAGUGCCAUAACGAGCGCAACCCCUCUCCGUAGUUGCCAUCGGGUAAUGCCGGGCACUCUGCGGACACUGCCACCGUAAGGUGUGAGGAAGGUGGGGAUGACGUCAAAUCAGCACGGCCCUUACGUCCGGGGCCACACACGUGUUACAAUGGCCGUCACAGAGGGGAGCCGGGCGACCGGCUCAUGAUCCUUAAAAACGGUCUCAGUUCGGACUGGGGUCUGCAACCCGACCCCACGAAGCUGGAUUCGCUAGUAAUCGCGCAUCAGCCAUGGCGCGGUGAAUACGUUCCCGGGCCUUGUACACACCGCCCGUCAAGCCAUGAAAGCCGGGGGUACCUGAAGUGCGUAACCGCAAGGAGCGCCCUAGGGUAAAACCGGUAAUUGGGGCUAAGUCGUAACAAGGUAGCCGUACCGGAAGGUGCGGCUG
rnacentral:rRNA from 1 species